UAGUUAGGAUUUUUUAAUUAGGGUUUCUGAAUCUAAGGUUUUUAAUUUAGGGUUUAUGAUGAUUGUUGUUGUUACAGGUGAUUAAAGGCUUUGGACCAGUUCUCUCACUCUACAGGUGAUUAGAGUUUGUGUUUUUUUUGCUUAUAUUGUUGUUGUUUCGAUGAAUCUCUUUGUUCUCUCUAACUCUCUAACUUAAAAACUUGAUUUGUGCAUAAUAUUUGAUUACUUUGGGUUGAUCUUUGGAAACUGGAAUGUGACUUUUGCUACCCCUGCAUGAACCGUGAUUUUUGGAACUUAGUUGCAGGUGAUAUUUCAGUUCUCAUAUCAGUGGCUAGUCUUGCCUUGGCAAAUUAAACAAAUAAGAUGGAUCAACGUCAAAGUAGCACGGAAAGAGUCUUAGAGCAAGAGCAAUGCAAUUGUAAGUGUAUUUGACUUCGUGUCUUUGAAAUAUGAG